GCUGGCGGCGUGCCUAACACAUGCAAGUCGCACGAGAAAGGGGUUUCGGCCCUGAGUAAAGUGGCGCACGGGUGAGUAACACGUGACUAACCUACCCUCGAGUGGGGAAUAACCUAGAGAAAUCUGGGCUAAUACCGCAUAACACUUACGAGUCAAAGCAGCAAUGCGCUUGGGGAGGGGGUCGCGGCAGAUUAGCUAGUUGGUGAGGUAAUGGCUCACCAAGGCGAUGAUCUGUAUCCGGCCUGAGAGGGCGCACGGACACACUGGAACUGAAACACGGUCCAGACUCCUACGGGAGGCAGCAGUGGGGAAUUUUGCGCAAUGGGGGAAACCCUGACGCAGCAACGCCGCGUGGAGGAUGAAAUCCCUUGGGAUGUAAACUCCUUUCGAUAGGGAAGAUUAUGACGGUACCUAUAGAAGAAGCCCCGGCUAACUUCGUGCCAGCAGCCGCGGUAAUACGAGGGGGGCAAGCGUUGUUCGGAAUUAUUGGGCGUAAAGGGCGCGUANGCGGUUUGACAAGUCUUAUGUGAAAUCUCUGGGCUCAACCCAGAGUCUGCAUGGGAAACUGUC
rnacentral:rRNA from 1 species